GUAUGUGUGAUGCCACAUGUACCGAAAUUUCCUCAUUUGAAGUACGGAACUCAAACUUCUCUUCGGUCGGUCGUUCAAUAUAUUUCGGAAUAAUAUUUCAUCAAAAUUAUGCCUAAGCAGAUCUUGGCUUCCUCUUUGGCUUCUGAUAGUUCCCAGAUUUCAAUUGUCAUUAUUUUUAACUGCUGCGGAAGGUGAACGACGAGAAAUGGGAUUUCAAAUGCUAUCGUCCGCUCUCUCUCUCUCUGCCCACUACCUGUCUCUUUCGCGAGGUGUGUGUUGCAACAACCAUGAGCAGUGAAAGAGGCAACAAGAUGGCAUUUAAUAGCCCCCCGGAGACACGAGGGUUAAGCGUGUGAGAAAAGCCAAAUUCCAGGGAAAAGUCGAAUGGAAAGAAGGGCGGAUUGUGUGAGAGUCGGAGACCAAAAACAGAACCAGAGACAAUAAAGAUUCCAGAACAAGAAAAGGGCGAUCGUAAAAAUGUCAAGCGAGGCCGGAAGAUGCGAUGCCCAGAGCAGAAGAAGCAUAGAAAGAGGAAUUCAGGGCGGCAGAGGUCAAAGGUGACCAAAACAAGACAGGAAAGGUACUCGUAGAUAACUAGAGGUGGAUGCAGGGCAAGCAAAUGCGCACACCCACUCAAAAACCCAACGAUUUUAUCACUCAGCCAUCGAUCAUUGUUGAUUAUUCAAAUAUCUCAAAGUUUACAUUACAAUCACACACGGUUUCCAAGCA
rnacentral:sRNA from 1 species